CUCCCUCUCUUCCCCUUUCUUCUCUUCCACGCCAAGUAACCAGGGGAAAAACCCCAUCGCCACCGCGCCUUCCUCGCCGUCGCGCCACCAUCUCCGGCAACCCCGCCUCCAACCUACGCUACCAGGAGGAGCGCUGUAUCUUACUUGUCCUCCUCGCCAAGUGAAUCGCCCCGGGAGGCCUUCUACCAACGCUAGUUCGCCGUUUCCCGCGCGCCGGUCGCCAUCGUUUUUCAUCGUUUCCGGCGCCGAUGGUCCUCCUCCGCCCUCUUUGGAUGCACCUUCAGCCUCAUGAUGGUCGCCAUCGGUGAUGCUCCGGCGCAUCCCCUGCUUCUCCGCCUCCGUCGCCGAGUCGUCCCGACUCCCUGCACCGCCUUACACCUACUCCCAGCCUCCUCCCCUUCCUCUCGUCUCCGUUGACCAUACCUCUGUCGCGGCGCCGUGCCACCACCUGAAGGCCUUCUUCAGUUUCGUCAGGAAUCAACACCAACAACAACUGCAACAGAUGGUCUGCCACGCUGGCGUCCGACGUGGUGCUGGGCCCACCCGUCAGCCUCACGGGCUAGGCAAUCCCGCGGUGAGAAAACAUCUCCAUAUCUAGAUGUGUUUCCAUUUUGCAAAGAGAACCCUGCAGCUUUUCCCUACCUAACCCGCAGCCCCUAUCCUUGAUACAUUUCCACAAAACCCCCUGCAGGAUUCCGUACCCAAGCCACCGUCCCAGUCAGCGCCUCGUCACCCCCUGGCCCACUCGUCAGACUCUGUGGCUGGCUUCCUCUGGGUGAGAAAAGCCCCGCCCCAGGAAGGGCACCACCACCACGUACAUACUUGUAACAACCCGAAAAAACCCAAUAUAUUAGACCUCGUUUUUC